rnacentral:rRNA from 1 species
AGUGAACGCUGGCGGUAGGCCUAACACAUGCAAGUCGAACGGCAGCACAGUAAGAGCUCGCUCUUACGGGUGGCGAGUGGCGGACGGGUGAGGAAUACAUAGGAAUCUACUUUUUCGUGGGGGAUAACGUAGGGAAACUUACGCUACUACCGCAUACGACCUACGGGUGAAAGCAGGGGAUCUUCGGACCUUGCGCGACUGAAUGAGCCGAUGUCGGAUUAGCUAGUUGGCGGGGUAAAGGCCCACCAAGGCGACGAUCCGUAGCUGGUCUGAGAGGAUGAUCAGCCACACUGGAACUGAGACACGGUCCAGACUCCUACGGGAGGCAGCAGUGGGGAAUAUUGGACAAUGGGCGCAAGCCUGAUCCAGCCAUACCGCGUGAGUGAAGAAGGCCUUCGGGUUGUAAAGCCCUUUUGUUGGGAAAGAAAAGCAGCAGGUUAAUACCCCGCUGUUCUGACGGUACCCAAAGAAUAAGCACCGGCUAACUUCGUG